GAUGAACGCUGGCGGCGUGCCUAAUACAUGCAAGUAGAACGCUGAAGAGAGGAGCUUGCUCUUCUUGGAUGAGUUGCGAACGGGUGAGUAACGCGUAGGUAACCUGCCUUGUAGCGGGGGAUAACUAUUGGAAACGAUAGCUAAUACCGCAUAACAAUGGAUGACACAUGUCAUUUAUUUGAAAGGGGCAAUUGCUCCACUACAAGAUGGACCCUGCGUCUAGUUAAGUAGUACGUUAAAGGUUAAGGUAGGGUAAAGGUUAAGUCGGGUCCUACCCUAACCGGUACGGGACCGGAACGUAACUAACUAAGUACCGGACCCCCGUACCGUAGGAAGGGUAGGGGUAGU
rnacentral:rRNA from 1 species